UGUGUGUGUGUGUGUGUGUAUGUGUGUACAUUUUGCUCACUCAGUUUUUGCUCCUAGCACCGAGUAAAUGCCAACGCUGCUGUUUGUUUUGGCUCCUGUUUAAAACUCUGGCUCUACACACACACACACACACACGCACACACACA